AACUUAAUAAAUUCAGAAGCUGCCUGAAAGACAGCAUUGAGAUUUUCAAAAGAAUUGAAAUUCACCAUGAAUCGUUUGGCAGUUGCUCUCCUUCUCCUUGUUGUAGUAGCAGGAGUUAUUGGUGAAAAAGAUGGAACCGAACAAGUCUUAAGAUGUCAAGCACUUAGAGGAAUUUGUCGAAGGGUCUGCCUUCCAGUUGAGUUUCAAAUAAAUGCUCUUGGAUGUGGUGUUCGUUUCAGGUGUUGUGUACGUAGAAGGUCUGCGGCCACAGAGUGAGAACAUGCUGACUGAAAAUCAGUAGGUGAAACGUAUGCUGCGGAAUAUAUGCAAGCAAGACCUUCUGUGUUUUCUGCUCAAAUGUAUGCUUAGUUUUUUGCAUUCCUUUGGAAUUUCUUUCCCUGUAAACGUGAAGACUCACAGUAUAAAACCAAUUGCUGCCAUUAAUGUGUGCUCAUGUUUUAGACUAUAUGACUAAGAUCCAGAUAUUGUUAAUUAGUAUGAUGUCAAAUCACUCCAUGUAAAUGGAAAAAAAAAAACAUUGUGAUAUCCAAAUAAUGUGAUGUUUUAAAACUUGUUCAUGCAGCUUUUUGUCAAUAAAAAUGCUUAUUUAGAAGUUCA